GAAUGUGGAUGAUGAGAUGACAAGUAAAAAUACAGUUAUCCCUGUCUUACUUCUUUGGAAGGAUGCUGAGAAUACUUUUAAUCUGACACCAUA
rfam:Hordeum vulgare subsp. vulgare, WGS project CAJW01000000 data, contig: morex_contig_1567590